CUUAGAUCUUCAGGCACAGACAGAAUGUUCAAAAAUACAAUGCAUUUCAAGAGGGAGUUCCCAAACUGGCUUUGGACUUGGAGACAACCUAGACGUGUGGUUGAAGUGCCUCCACUAAGAUACUGCAGUAGAAGCUUUUGGCUAAAGUAUGCUGGCAUUUUGUGGCAUUUGGACUCUUCCCAUUCUCCCUUAAACCCCAUCACUGCUUGAAUGAGGCCUGAGAGCAUCUCCGAAAUGAUAUUUGGAUCUUGGGAUGAGAGAGGCUCCCCUGACUCCACAGCACUCAAGGGCUUUUGGCUUCCUCAAAAUUUCUCUAAUCAUUUAUUAUUCUCCCAUGUCAGCAAAAUCCUGUGAGGAAUUAGACUUUUUUUUUGCACUGCUCUAGAAAUUCUUCUGCUGUUUCUCCAGAGGAAGAAUCCCCAACUCAUUUCUCAUUUUGUCCGGACUUCAUUUUUAAAUGGCGAAGUUCCAUAGC